ACUAUUUGUUUCCCAUUGGAUCUGACAGGCUGUGUUCUAGCUUGGGUUAGUUAUAAAAACAAAUCUGGAGCGCCAUCUUGCGGCUGUUGAAAUAUAUACUUCCGUUCGUUCAUGCAGAAUUUACAUCCGGAACGAUUGGUCACAACAAUAACAACCACCACCACCAUGGCAGCAGCUGGCGCUGACAUGAAGCCCCUUCAGCAUGCCAUGAAAAUAGCUAAAGUGGCUAUACAAUUGGACGCAGGGAACCGACAUAAGGAAGCUUACUGUGAAUACUUGAGGAGUAUCAACUUCAUCACCCACUCACUUUUGGAGGAUGCUGUAUCUAGGCAGGGAGAGAUAGUAGAGGUGGAAAAGAUGUUGAGGCUGGCUGAGCAGUGUUUGGAGAGAGCCAAGUCCUCCUUCAUAGGAAGGAGAGAUGAACCUGCAACCCCUAUCUCCUACACGACACCUAUCAACUUGGCAGCACUCAGCCUGACCACAGCCUUAGCAGUAAGCCCUGGAAAGAUUGUUUCGCCACAACCACAAGAGCCGGUUAUUUACUCGGGGCCUAAACAUAACCCCAGGCCUGGACAGCGCAAAGUUCUCUCAGAGGGUGGAGGGGAGGUCAUCACCUUCCUGCCCCCAGAAAUCUUCCAGAGUUUUCAGAUAGUGGAGUCGCAGGAUACCAGGAAGGAGCUUACACCCAUAGAGGAGGCCUCGCGGUUGAACCAGAAGUUGAAAGAAAAUUAUGAAGCUCGUCUGGCCCGACUCCCCCCUGCACAGGCCCGUACACAGAAGACUUCCCUGACACUCUCUCUUCAGAGGCAGAUGAUGGAGAACCUAAUCAUUGCCAAGGCCAGGCAAGAUGCUCUACAAAGGAAGAUGGAGGAGAGGAGACUGCGGCUGCAGGAGGAGGCCAACAGGAGAUUUGCCGCAUCUGGAACAAUUACUGCAGAAGAACAGGAGCAACGUGUUUUGUACACAAAUGUUUUGGAAUAUGAACAAGAUCAUGACUGGCCCAAGCUAUGGAAAGCCAACAUUAAGAAAAAUCCUGAUGAUCCCACAUUGGUGUCCGGCCUUGUUUCAUGUCUUCUCAGCUGUCCAGACCACCCUGUGAUGAUGCUACUGAAAAGGCUCCAGUACAGAGUUUACAACAGGCUCUACCCAAUCGUGAGUAAGAGUCUCCCUACAAGUCCUGCCCUGCCCAUGAAACCCUCCCACAGCGCCCAGAGCCUGUUGAUGUCAGACUCUCAUCAGAACGUGUCAAAAUCCGAAGUGGGCCACAGUAUGUCCUCCGAUGCCUCUCUCAAUAUCUCCUUCUCCCAUGACCAUAUUGCUAACGAGGAGGAUAGUGAUGGGCCCCAUACACUGGACAGGGAGAAUUCGUUUGAGGAUCUGGAGCAGUUUCUGACACAGCUGGACUGGGCUCCAUCACAUGGGGACCCUGACGUGACCUUUGAACAGUCACAGUUGGAUCAGGAGGAGCCUCUCGUUCAAGACUUGGAGAUGCGUGAUCUCAAAGAACACCUCAAGGCUAUUGUGAAGGACAUCCAUAUUGCCAUUGAUCAACUGCUGUCGCUAUGUCUUCUCUCCUUUGAGUGUCUGAACACAGCCAGUUCUAAGGACCUGUGUGUGGCCAGCAUAGAAGAAGCCUUCUUCACUCCCCUCUGGAGCUCUUUGUUGGCUCUCUUCAGGAAGGUCCACAGAGAGAGGGAGCUGUCCUUUGAGUCAAGUAUGAGGCUGUAUCGGGAUGCCUCACCUGGUGAUGUUGGUGUCGCAUCGAAACUGUACCCCCAGGACCCUGUCAUGCUGCAUGGUUCCUACCCCUAUGACUCGGCAGUGCAAGAGCUUCGCUUGCUGUGCAAAGAUUGCUGUCCCCAGAGAAAGCUGGAGUGCAUUGUUCGAACGUUGCGUCUGAUCUGUGCUUGUGCUGAGGACUACUCCUGCCUUCAUGAGGCAGAAUCCAAAACUGCAGCCAUUGGGGCAGAUGACUUGUUGCCCAUCCUCUCCUAUGUGGCUCUGCACUGUGAGCUGCCUCAGUUGGUGUCGGAGUGUGCUGCCCUGGAGGAGUUCAUUCAUGAAGGUCUCACUGGAGGAAAGGAGAGCGCAGGGACGGUGAGAGGCGGACCCUCUGCUGCUUUCUCCCUCUGCUGACACUGACCAUCAGAUGCAGGUAUCUGAUUGGAGAGGAGGGCUACUGCUUGACCUCCAUGCAAAGUGCUCUGCAAUAUGUGGAGUCAUUGCACACAGGAGGAUUUCAGCUACACAACACUAAAUUCACCUGAUACAGGCUGCUGCUUUGAAAUGGAAACCAGUAUUCCCUGUGUUGCAGUGCUCUGAAGUGGCAGUGCCUGUUAGCUGCAGACUGGACUACGGUUCAACUUAAUUCAGUGUUCUGAGCAAGAAAUGACUUUGGCUGUCAAAUUAAUUUUCUUAUUUAUGCAACAAUGGUUCUGAUGGGCUGGACCUAGUUUCCAAGUUCUGUUUCUGUUCACCCAGGUGAUUUGACAAAGCCUGCUUGUUACCUGGACUAGCUGCAAUGUGAAAUGUCUUUGCUUAUGACUGCCAUUGAGGGGCAUUUAGGUCAAGUGCUUGAAGCUUUGUCAUCCGUCAACCUGAAGUCUGCAAAAUAUUUUAAUGCUGUUGUCCAAUAUUGCUCAGUUUUAUUGCUUUCGUUUAGGAACUGACCCUGUCAUUUUAUUAAAUGAAUGUCUGAAAGAUGACUAUGUAUUACCAUAGAACAACAUGUCUCUCUUUUGAAACUCAAAAAAAGCAUGAAUUGAUAAAUUAUUGUGGAGCUGCUUACAGAAUAUUAAUAGAAUAAUUUAUUUUAGAUGUCAGGAUUCCAGUUCAAUUUUAAUGCUUGCAUUCAGGUUAUGUUUUAAGGUAAUGCACACAUGUUGCUAAAAAACUAGGUUGAUGUGAGUGAUUUGAAACUAUGCUAAGUAUUGUGUUUCGUGAGAAUGUGUGUUCAUUCACGAAUUUGUAGGGACAAUGCCUCUGAGAAAUUUCAUGCAAAAUUGAGAUAUGGGCCCCCCAACAAAACAUUUUAGGACCAUGAUUAGAACUAAUUUAGUGUCAAAUUAGUUUUUAAUAUAUCUAAAUAUUUAAGUAUUUUGUGCAUUUGGGUGGAUGGAGUUCUAGGGGGGGAUUCUCACAGGGUUAUGGUUAAUUGCUCUUUUGGCAAUAUUUUUUAAAUUCAAUUCUGACUUCACUUCUGAAAGUUUCAUCAGUUAAACUAAUUCACUGAAAUAGUGUGGACGCCAGCAGGCACUUGCAGAUAAGAUAUUAAUUGUUUUGCUACUGUGGUUGAACAUUUUAACAAUGUUUUAUACUUACAGAAUAUAUCAUGAACUGGUGUCAGUACAGUAUUAGGUUGAAGUUUAAAGUGGGAUAGGGAUGGAUUUAAGGGAGAGGUUUUUUAGUGUUUAGAGGACAUGCUGAGAGUUGACCAGUCACUCAAAGCACUGCCUCAUCUUCAAUGGUUGUGUUCCAGGCUGACUACAUUGCAGUUGCAUUGCACAAUGCCAAGAUGGGUGUUUUAAUAUAUUCGCUCACCACAUCGUAUGAUAUUGCAAUCUGAUGCCAAACUGCACAUUUUGACGAAGAGCUCAACCAUUUGUUGAUGUAACGCAACGCCUUUGACAUAGUCGGCCUGUCUCUCACAGCUAUAUGAAAACUUAGAGCACGGACAACUCUUAAUACCUGGUUUAUUGACUAAAUGUAUCAUUUUUAUUCAUACUGUUUUAUGCUGUUUGUUUUCUAUUUAAUACUUUUUAUUUGGUCUGUUAAAGAAAUGAAUGGGUCCAAAAGAUUUAAAAAUGUUUUUGACAUCCUAAAAUAAUUGUACCACCUGUCAGCAUUGUCUUUUGAAACCAUCUGUGAAAAUUGUAACACCAAAAAUGUGCUAAUAUGUACUGUGUAUAUUUAUGUGAGAAGUAUGUAAAUGAUAAUAUAAUGGACAUAAUGGGAUGUAAGGAAUGCUGUUGUAUUUCACACAGUAUGUGAACCACUACAUUGACUCAACUAAUUAUGACCUGUAUUUGUUGUUUUUUGCUCUUGAAGCCUUAUGAACAUGUAUGUUGGUUAGACUCAGAUUCAAUAUGCUAUUUUAUUGGAGAACCCCCCCCCAUAGACAUUCAUCUGUGUGGAGGGUCUUAGUCUGGGUGGUUAUGAAUAUCUGUGUAUGUGUUGUCCUGGAGGUUUAUAACAAUAAAGAAGUUGAGGAAAAGUG